UAACUAAUGUCUUCUAUAUUGUCACUGGGUUAUGUUUUCUUUCCUCCUUUACCAUUUGAAGGUGUUUUUAUAAAUAAUGAAGAGAACAAAAUGGAAGCCAGCAAGUGAACGAGACCUGAGAGGAUUGCUAAAGUCUUGCUACCUGGAAUACGCCCAACUCAGUGCUAAAGAUCUCCUCCAGAUUGGAAGAGGGAGAGACCUCCCGCUUCGGCAGGGUUCCCCAGCGACGCCGGCCCACGAGGAAUGAAGCUCGGUGCCUACUCAGCCCUUUCAUCCUCUCUUCCGUUCGGAAGAACUCAGUCAAGGCCCGGAAAUACUCCAAGAUGACCUCGUGGCUCCAGGCUGGCAAGGGCUCCUGGCGCAGGAAGCCACAGUGGCCUCCGUGGCGGCUGAGCAGGAGGAAGAAGUUCGGAGAUUGUAAGGAGACAUCCUGGACAAAUUAUCAGUUACAGCUGCUUCCAGGGCCCUCUUUGCUGAUUUGACAAGCUAUGGACUAAGCGAUGUACAGGUCAGGUGCUGCAGGGGUAGGGCAGGUGCUUGGGUUGCUAGGACACGAUGGGGCUGAGGUGAGGCCAGAGGGCCCCCGGGGCAGCUGUUCCUGCUCUAGCUAAUGAUGCUCACUGAGUCCGUUUGUUUGUGGCUUUUAAACCUGCUUCCUCUGGGCGCUUCAGAAAGUGUGAGGAGACCUUUGCCCAACUUGCUCUAAAUCUACUUGUUCAGUACCAGGCAGAGCUGUUUCUCCGUCAGCCCCAAACUCUCUUCCCCCAACUGCCCGUCUACAACCUCCAUCACCCACCUGCUGAGGGCAAUCUUCUGGUGAAGCAGAAAGCCCCGCUCGUAGGGCCAGGGCAGGCCAGCCUCAAACCACU